ACCGACGCACAGACCAUGAAAAGCCCUAAUCUUCUUUCUUUCCUAGCCAGUCUCUCAAAAUGCCCUAAUCUUCUUUCUUCCAUUACUUCUGUUGAGGAGGCCGGAUCCCACCUUAUUGCUUACUCUGCCGACAACACCCAGCCAGUUUCUCCCCUGCUAAGGCUGCUAUCCAUUUCUCUCACACACACUUGGCCAAGAAUCAAGUUCACUUUAAAGCUUGCAACAAACAGUAUUGUGACAUUCCUCUUCAACAAUGAAGCUCCGGAUCAUUUACCCCAUCUCCACUUGAAGUUCUCUCUUCUAUCGAUCUCCAUCUCCGCUUGAAGUUCUCUCUUCUAUCGAUCUCCAUCUCCGCUUGAAGUUCUGGUUCGACAGGGAAAGGAAAGUUGGGCGAUCUCAACCAAUUUCUACCUUGACCAACACAGAGCUAUUUGUUCAACCCUCUUUUUACUCUCUAGAACCGAGGAUCUGGACUUACCUUCACUCUUCAGGUGAUUCAGAGAAGUUAAUAAAAGUGUUAUUUCUUGAUGAAAUCAAUGCAAUCAUUAGUCAGCGUGGUGAAGGACGCAGUGACCAUGAAACAAGUAGGCGAUUGAAAAUUGAGCUACUCAUACAGAUGGAUGGUUUGACGCGGACAGAUGAGCUUGUUUUUAUUUUGGCGGCAACAAAUCUUCCUUGGAAACUAGAUGCUGCUAUGCUCCGACGUCUUGAGAAGCGGUUCUUUUAACCAUGAUAUAAGUUCCUUGUACCUUUUCCGGAACCAGAAGCAAGAAGAGUAAUGGCAUUACUCUUCUUGGUUGAAAGGACAGAAGGUUAUUCAGGUUCAGAUAUUCGGUUAAUGUGCAAAGAGGCUGCCAUGAGCCACUAAGAAGAGUAAUGGAAUUACUUGAAGAAAACCAAGAAGUUGUGCCUGAGGACGGUACUUGCUUGGAUUUUGUACAAUGGCCAACGAAGUGAAGGAAGUGUCAAAAAUUGGAAGUCAACCAGCGCCAAGAAUUAAUGAACAAUGUGAAGAUUGAUAUCUAUUUUUGGGAAAUAUUAAAUUUUCUUUUUAAUUUUGGCAUGUUGAACAAUUAAUGAUGAAUUGUAAAUUAAUGUCUUACUCUUUUGAUAUAUAUUUAAUAGUGAAUUUAAACAUGAA